GCCAUCUACAAAAAUCAAAGAAGGCGCUCUUUUCAUGGUUGUUCAAAAAUCACUGCCCUCAAGACAGGGGAGGAGCCACACAGAACAUAAAACCCCUCCUUUUACCAGCAAGAGGGACUCUCUCAACAACUUGAAAACAGGCAAAGAUCUGUUAUCAGUCAUUUCAUUCAACUUCAAGCAUUCUUUCAUUCAAAGUCACCCAUCCAUUUGUCCAACAAACACUGCAUGCUGGCCUGGCUGACUACGGAAUCCGGAAAAGAAUUGGACCCCUGGCCAGAUCUUCUUCCCCAGGGGCACAGAACCCGGUGAACACAUUCAUGUGUCAUGACCUCAUCUUGACCCAGAAAACCAGGCAGUGAGAAAAUGAAUGUCCCUCAAAGGUCUUACCCUUUAUGAAGGACCAAAAAGCAUGGAAAAGAGGUCACUUCAAUCUUUGCCAAAAGUGGAAAAAAUGGAGCAUUUGAUGGCCCAGCUCUGACACAGUGAGCUGGCAGGGCCUAUCAAACCCAAGCCCUUUCAGACCUCAUACCAUGCCACCCAGGGAAAACCUCAGUUGCUUUUUUUUUUUUGGACACAAUAUCACUGCCUCAAAUCCCCUGUCCAGGGCCCUUCACCAUUCUUAUCUGGGGUUCAUCAAUAAGACUCAGGAGAUUGGCAAGUGUAACAAAUGCUUGAUGAAGGAGUCAGAAGACCACAAGUUUUAAGAGUAAAAUUUGUUUGCUGUCAAAUCUACAAAGACCUCCAAACCUACCUUAAAAAAAAAAUCCUUACCCUAGGAUAUGUUUAUUGAUUUUAGAGAGGGGAAGGAGGAGAGAGGGAGGGAGGGAGAAAAACAUCAAUUUGAGAAAAAUAUGGAUUGGUUGCUCCCAUAUGCUUCCUGACCAGGGAUCGAACCUGCAACCUUUUGGUGUACAGGACAACACUCCAACCAACUGAGUCAUGUAGCCAGGGCCAAAACUACCUUUUAUUAUAUACUAUUUAGAAACUGAAGUUGAAAAUCAGAAAUGGGGAGGAUCCAUGUCUUGGAAUGUUUCCAAAUAUCUAAGCUCUAUCUGUCCUCAAAUACUGCCUGAGUUUCAGAAGUAAGUUUGAAAGACUUGAUGAGCUAGGUCAGUGCUUCUCAUGCUCUAACUUGGGUACAUGAAUCUCCCAGGGAUCUUAUUAAAAUGAAAUGCAAAAUCUGACUGUCAGUCUAGGGUGAGGUCUGACAGUCUGCAUUUCUAAUAAGUUCCUGGGUAAUGCCAAGGUUGGCACUCCAUGACUCAUACUCUGGGUAGCAAGGAGCUAGGUCACCAUGCCUGAAAAACCAAAGGGCACAGGGGUGGGUGAGGAACAAGAAAAAAAGGACAUUCUGCCAGCAGACUCUUUCAUCAACUCACUGAUGGCCAAGCUUCUGUCCACCUUCCCAGUGGGUCAUUGAUGAGCUACCACGAUCACAGGCUGCACUCGGAGAAUAACUUUCCUCAUAUGUAAGUCCUCUGAUAAUGUACUGGUUGUAGCUUUUGGAGGGCCACACGAGUGGCUGACCAGCCAAUGAACCGUUCAAAGACAGUUUGCAACCCACUAUGUCUAAGAGACACUGUCCAGUGUGGCCAAGUGCCACUCACCUCCAAGUGUGCUCAGCCACCUUUGCUGCAGUUCUUGCUGCCUCCGCCCAUCGACUUUAUUUCUUCCUUGUCUCUUUCCCUUCCACAUUUUUCUGGCUCACUCUCUCCUCUUUAUGUAUCUCACUGUUAACUAGCUCUAGAAUGGAACUGAAAGAUUCUUUAAUAUGUUUAGUGAGUGAUGUCAGAUUUUUCCAUGCCUUUCACUCUAGCAGAUGAAAAGAGUGAUUUCUAUUUUCAGAGGGAAAGCCUAUGCUACAUUUUCUUCUAUCUAAUGUUCAACUUGUGAGAAAGUGGGCCAUGAUAAAAAAGUCCCCAAGGUCAGAAACAGAUGGAUGAGGUCACUUGGGAGAGGUGCAGAGCAAACACGGGAAAGGAGGGGCCAAAUGCAGGGGGAAAAAAUUUGCUAAAGCUUACCUGUGGAGGUUGUAAAAUUUACAGUUUUAUAGUGAGGGAAAAAAUGGGCAAAUUCUUAGGUGUGCCUCAUUUUGUAGGCCUCCUGGGAACCAUCCCCACCUAGUGGCCAUUUAGAAAACUGCCAUUGAGGAUUGAUCUCUGCAAAGGGUGCCCACUUCAAUCAUUGGGAUAAUGCGAGCCUUUCAUCCUGCGCCCCAGCCUCCUCAGGCUUCAUCAGUGCCAGAGGCCCCUUCUCUCUGUGGACUCCUUGGCUUCUCCCAGCCCUGCCCAUCUGGCUGCCCAUCCCCUUCCCAUGUAGGGGUGCAAUGCAACCAGCAGCCUCACAACUUUUCCUCCCUCCCACUCCACAGCAAAACUGGCCAGUGUGACCCACCCUGGGCAUCCAAAUGGUUAAGUUCACAGAAAAGGGUCCCACCAGCAAAUGAGUUUGGGUGAAAUGCUGCACUGGCAGAGCUCCUCUUAAGUGGGAGGAGAGAUGUACUGAUUUUAAAUUAAUUAAUGAGAGUUGACAACGUGUACCCGAAGCCCCUUUUCCAUAUGGCAUCCUAUGAGAAACUUUGGGACCCGUUGACCUAAGAGGUAACAGAAGAGAGGAGCUGGGAUGUUUCUAAAGCCCCCACCACUCCCCUCAGUUUUGGGAUCCUGUAGUAAAGAUAAAAGAAGCCCAUGCUGAUGAGUUGAAGAGCUGCCCAGGGUGAGGAAUGAUGAAGGGGGAAGCACUCAGCCAAGUGGCCUGGCAGAGUGCACCUGAUCCUGACAGGAGGCACCCUCCUGGCAGGGAUGGCCAAGGAAAGGGAGGGAGAGGAAAGGGCACUGAGAGGCAGGGGCAGCUCUGCAGGAUGGGUCACUUGUGUGUGAGGGGCCACCUUUAUGGUCAUGGCUGCCAUUAGCUAUCUGAAUCAAACUCUCCAUUUAGAUCAAAGGCACUCUGCUCAUUUCAGGAGAGCUGCAUGUGCCCCUGUGCAGUUCUGACCAGGUGCCCCGGUAGUUUACUUGGCCUUAAUAAAAUCCGGCCACACCUUACCCUUCCCUCAGCACAUAAAGAAUGCCCUAGGGCAGCACACAAGUGGAGAAAACAGGCCCUCAGCGAGUGCCUCCUGUCCAUAAGGAAGUUAGGGGGGAUAAACACCCGGAGCCACAUGCUAGGUAAACACGAAAAAAGGGACCAACCCACGCCAACGGUCGGGUAGACAGGACAUGUUGGUUCAGCAACAGGACCUGGCCGGCAACGCAAACUGACUCUUAUAAAGGCUCUUAAGAAUGCAUUUCUCCUCACUGCUGUGCCCAGGUCAGUCAGGAGACCAGUUGGGAGCAAAUGGCAUUCCAGGACAGAGGAGCCUCCCUGCGAAGAUGGUGUGAAGCAGAGAAACUCCAAAGAGUUCAAGAACAUUCAGCAGCUUUAUCAGGACCCUGGAAGGCAGAAAUUAGGUUGACGGAAAUAAUGUCCAGUUACCUUCAUCAUCCUCUUCUUCAUCCACACCGUCCACCUCAGCAU